AUACUUACCUGGACGAGGUAUAUGGGCGAUCAACAAGGCUCAUAGCCUAAGUUAGUGGCCUCCAUUGCACUCGGGAGGUGCACUAGCUUACCAUCUUCCUAAGGGGAGAGCGGACGUCGUAAUUUGUGGUAGUGGGGGUACGCGUUCGCGCGACCCCUA